UCACCAAGCGCUGCACCAACUUCAGAGGGACCUACACCAUCAGAGGGGUCUACGCCAUCGUCCCAACAAAUUGUCAUUCGCUUGACGGCGAGGAUUUCCUCUGUGGCGGCUCUGACUGAGGAAGACAUCAGGAGUACGGUCGUACAGCAGCUUAAAAACGAACUGGUGAAACUCGGAUUGACACCCAGCACAAAUCUGACGUUACUGGGGAAGGUGUAACUGGAAAUUACAGCCAAUGGGGAACCCUGCUGAUUCAUCGUGGUCACCUAUCCACUCGUGAACAAAAUCUAAGAAGUUUUCAUUUAAAUUUAAAGGUUGAACUGGGGAAACUGGGUAUGGUUUUAUCAAGGUCCAUUUAGUAGCUGUUCUUGGUCUUUUAAUGAUGUCUCCUGAUCUUCAUUAACAAAUGGGAUUGCCCUAGUGGACAUUGAUUGAACUGUAAAUGUUCAAAUUUCUUUACAGUGUUUAAACUUUUAUGAUCAUCACUAUUAUUUUAAACAAAGUAAUGUUUUAGACCAGGGGUGUCCAAACUUGUUGUCCCAAGGACCACAUACAAAAAAAAUGCGAAGGACUGGGCCACUCCCCCCCCAUCCCCCUGCCCUGGAGCGGAUUGUUGACAGUGCAACUCAACCUCGCCGCUCAGGGCGGGAGGGCGUGGCGGCCUUCUGAGGGACAGCUGGCAAGUCAGGGGUGAGUUUGGCGCCACCUUGUGUCUAAACUGAGAAGUGCAAUACAGUGGGCCAUGGUCCAUUGUGUUACAUUACAUUUCAUUUAGCUGACGCUUUUGUCCAAAGCAACUUACAAUAAGUGCAUCAACCCCGAGGGUACAAACCCAGAACAACAAGAAUCAAGAAAGUACAAUUUCUUCAAAAAUAAAGCAAAACUACAAAGUGCUACAAGUAAGUGCCAUUAAGGUGCUACAAAACUGUUGGUUUCAAAAAUUGCUAGUUUUUAAAAUUUGUAAUUUUUUUUAAUAUGUAUUAUAUUGUUAGACUUUGAUGCGGGCCAAUUACAAAUGGAUGGCGGGCCGCAGUUGGACACCCCUGUUUUAGACUAUCCGUAAUAUUUCUAUCAGUCUGUUGUUUGACCUGUCUCUGGAAGCUCACCUGCUGAUGACGUGUUUUUUUCCCGGCUACCAAACACGACCGUAUUGUCGUUUUGUGAAAAUAUAGCUGAUAUUCAACCUUUAAAAGGCCAUAGACUAAAACCAGAAUUACACAAUAACAUUUCCUUGUUGCUAAAGACAUGGGCCAGGUUCUGGAUUUAAAUAACUAAAUCUAAGACUCUACAUGCUGCACAUUUUACUGAAUUUUCCUCAUGUUGUACGUGACAGUUACAGAAUCCCAGGUUAAAGAUGCUAAAUGUAUGUUUUAAUUAAAUCAUAAUUUGUUUAACCUCA